AAUUCUAACUCUAAUCCCUUAUCCUUCCCCAAGCCCAAAUCCAAGCCUAAUCUCUCCCUAAUCUAUCAAGGUAACUCGAAAAUUAAAAAAAUCUAGCCCUAACGUCUCGUUCCUCUGCCUUUUCUUACUGAAGCUCGAGCUCUCAUCUCUUUGCUCACCGGCUCAAUCUUAAGCUCACUUUCCUUCCAGGAUUCGGAGCCACUUCGCACUUUCAUCUACCUGUUUGCAUGAUCUGAAUUGGUGCGACUUAAGAGGAACGAACGAGAAACAGUUGUUGGAUGGAUAGGUUGAUUGAUUCAUUGUUCAAGCAAUAGCAUUACUAGUUAAAAUAAAUGGUUAUGGUUAUGCCUUUCUGGUUUAAUUAAGAGGUGAUUUGAAUUCUGAUCAAUAAAUACACUAUGCAGUAUCAACAGAGAUAAUGUAGUUUGAUAUGCUAGAAUCUAACUUAAAAAGUAUACACCUAACCUAAUCUAAUGUACUAUUAUCUAAGCUGGAGCCUUGAAGUUCUGCUUAUUCUUGUGCUUUCGCCGAUAAAUUCUGUUUGAUAGUUCCCUAAGAUAGCUAAUUGCUCAAUCUUUCUUUGAUUUUAGAAUAUCCGACUGUACUAUAUUUAAAACUAACACCUUUCCCUUCAGUUUAAGGAUUGCAGCAUUGAUUUGUAAAUAAUCAGUGGGGUUGCUGUUGGUUGUUGAACCCAUGGUUAUCAAAAACUUUUCAAACAGCAUGUUUUGUGUAGAAGUUUGCUCAUACAAGAGUGGUUUUCAAGUAAAGGUCUAAUGUAAUUUCGCUACAUUAGCUUCAUGAAGAGCUGAGAAAAUGAGUUACAUGAAAGACCAACCACGUUCCUCAGUAAAACACCAAAAAUCAGAAAGCAAUAGCACCUAUAAUACUGGAGAAUCCAACCCUGGAAAUAACCUUUGGACAGAUGGGCUUAUUUGCGCUUUUGAAUUUGUUCAAGGACGAAAAAAACCAAUUAAACAUAAGUCCCCAUUGAAGAUCUCAGACAAACUAAAUUUGGAUGUUUAUCAGUGCAAGAGGUCUGGCACUUGAGAAGGUUUAACACAUGCUGCUUCUGGCAGGCCAGAUAAAGAUAAUCUCUCACAUCAUUCAUCUGUAAAUUCCUUGAGGGACAGUUCGCUUGGUGCCUCCGAUGAUGACAAAGAGAGCCAGGUUUCUCAGGGUGGCCAAUUUAAUGCUGCAUGAAAAUACGAGGGUGGUCACUGGGUACCGAUUGGAUGGAAAAGAAUUGUACAACUUGUAUAAACAGUUCAGUUCCAUGAAUUGGGUUGCUGGCUUGCUGGUUGCUAGGUUCCAAUGGUGGCAGACUCUGGCACUUGUAGAGCCAUAGCUAACCAACCCUUUCUCUCUCUCAUGUAUUAUAUAAUGUAUAUAUAGAAAUGAAUAGAUGUAUACUAGAUCCAAGGAAAGGUCAUUAGGGUAGAAACAUGCUGUUAUUUGUGAUUUGUACAUAGACUUAUUCAUUUUCAUUGUGAAAUAAAUUGAGAAACUUUUGAGAAA